rnacentral:misc_RNA from 1 species
GCUAUGGUAUUCAAAUCUGGGUUUGAAUUUGCAACACCAGAGGGUAGAGUGGUUUCCCCAUUAACCUUCCUUGUAUCAUUGGUUGCUGAUCCAGUCAAAUUCUUUUCAUCUUGAGCUGGUGAACCUUUACCAGACUCAAAAGCAAAAGAGGAAAUAGUCCUUGAUGAAUGUGAGGAAAUAUGAUCAUCAACAUCAUCAUCAGUGAAUGAGGCAAUCUCACUUUCCUCAUCAUUCCCUUCAUUUGUCACUUCUGAAACAGAUUCACUUCCAUCCUUG